rnacentral:rRNA from 1 species
GCUAGUAAUCGCGGAUCAGAAUGCCGCGGUGAAUACGUUCCCGGGUCUUGUACACACCGCCCGUCACACCAUGGGAGUCGGGAAUGCCCGAAGUCAGUGACCCAACCCAAGGGAGGGAGCUGCCGAAGGCAGGCCUGGUGGCUGGGGUGAAGUCGUAACAAGGUACC